AACGAACGCUGGCGGCAGGCCUAACACAUGCAAGUCGAGCGCCCCGCAAGGGGAGCGGCGGACGGGUGAGUAACACGUGGGAAUUUUCCUCAAGGUACGGAACAACUCAGGGAAACUUGGGCUAAUACCGUAUGAUGCAGAGAUGCCAAAGAUUUAUGGCCUUGGGAUAAGCCCGCGUCAGAUUAGGUAGUUGGUGGGGUAAUGGCCUACCAAGCCCGUGAUCUGUAGCUGGUCUGAGAGGACGAUCAGCCACAUUGGGACUGAGACACGGCCCAAACUCCUACGGGAGGCAGCAGUGGGGAAUCUUGCGCAAUGGACGAGAGUCUGACGCAGCCAUGCCGCGUGAAUGAUGAAGGUCUUAGGAUUGUAAAGUUCUUUAGCCUGUGACGAUGAUGACGGUAACAGGAGAAUAAGCCCCGGCUAACUUCGUGCCAGCCGCCGCGGUAA
rnacentral:rRNA from 1 species